rnacentral:rRNA from 1 species
CAAAAACAUCGCCUCCUGCAAAAAUCAACAUAUAGGAGGUCUUGCCUGCCCAGUGACCCUAAGUUAAACGGCCGCGGUAUUUUGACCGUGCAAAGGUAGCGCAAUCACUUGUCUUUUAAAUAAAGACCCGUAUGAAUGGUGAAACGAGGGCUUAACUGUCUCCCCCCUCUAGUCAAUGAAAUUGAUCCACCCGUGCAGAAGCGGGUAUAAACAUACAAGACGAGAAGACCCUUUGGAGCUUAAGAUAAAACACCAACUAUGUCAAUAGUGCAAAACACUAAACUAAAUAGCACUGGUCUAAGUCUUCGGUUGGGGCGACCACGGGAGAAAAUAAAGCUCCCAUGCGGAAUGGGAAUAUACCUAAAACCAAGAGAGACACCUCUAAGACACAGAACAUCUGACCAAAAGAUCCGGCUACUUGCCGACCAACGAACCAAGUUACCCUAGGGAUAACAGCGCAAUCCCCUUCCAGAGUCCAUAUCGACAAGGGGGUUUACGACCUCGAUGUUGGAUCAGGAUAUCCUAAUGGUGCAGCCGCUAUUAAGGGUUC